AUUCAUGUUAUGACCAGGUUGAAUUAAAAAUAUAAAUAGGAACGAAAACUUUUGCAUAACAUUUUACUCGGAGAUUGGCUGGAUUUAUUUGAGCGUGUACUUUUUGUUUAUGAUUAGUGGAAUGAAAAAAUGAAACUGAUGUUGUGGUGCGGGAAGUGUCCCUUCAUUAUACGGAUUCUGGGAGUGGGCAAGCGGCGGAUCAUAGGCUGCUGUGUCGUGAAGGAAGUUUAUGGUAAAACCACGUAAGACUGAAUAUGGUUCGGCAGCUAUUAUUGGCCUAUCUUACCAAUUAGAUACAAUAAUAACUGAUACAGGUUCACACAUAACCUGAUGUGUUAGAGAAAACGACUAACUUCGAUUCACCCACCAAGAAAAAACAAGUCGUAUGUAAGUCCUAAAGGAGACAUCAAGCUCUCUUUUCUGGUGGCUGAAAUUACACUGUGCUCAGCGAGUAUAGCGAGGUGCAUGAUCGGCGCAUUUGAUUUUAACGUCAAUGCAUCAGUGACUAAGUAAAAGCAAAGCGCCAAACAACAAUACUAACACAUUAAAUUUUGGAUUGAAUGAAAACUAAUUUGAAAUCGAACAAAAACUGGAUGAAAACAAAAUUUAAAUUGAAUUCAAAUGAAAUUCAAAUAAAAUUAAAGUAAAUUGGAAUUAAAUUCAAACUAAAAUUAUUGUUGAAUCACAUUGAAUUGAAAUUAAAGUAAAAUUAAGUUCAAACUGAUUGAACAUUAAGCCUAUACUAAAAUAAAAUUAAAUUGAAUUAAAAUAAAUUGUAGGACAUAAAGUUGUAUUGUAUUUUUGUUGUAAUAUUAGAGUAAAAUGUAUUCUAAAUUUCAUUAUAUUUCUACUGUAAAACAAUAAAAA